rnacentral:rRNA from 1 species
GACGAACGCUGGCGGCGUGCUUAACACAUGCAAGUCGAACGGAAAGGCCUCAGCUUGCUGGGGUACUCGAGUGGCGAACGGGUGAGUAACACGUGGGUGAUCUGCCUUGCACUCUGGGAUAAGCUUGGGAAACUGGGUCUAAUACCGGAUAUGAACGGCCUUUGGGGUGUGGGUUGGAAAGUUUUUUCGGUGCAAGAUGAGCUCGCGGCCUAUCAGCUUGUUGGUGGGGUAAUGGCCUACCAAGGCGUCGACGGGUAGCCGGCCUGAGAGGGUGUACGGCCACAUUGGGACUGAGAUACGGCCCAGACUCCUACGGGAGGCAGCAGUGGGGAAUAUUGCACAAUGGGCGGAAGCCUGAUGCAGCGACGCCGCGUGGGGGAUGACGGCCUUCGGGUUGUAAACUCCUUUCGACAGGGACGAAGCUUUUUGUGACGGUACCUGUAUAAGAAGCACCGGCUAACUACGUG